rnacentral:rRNA from 1 species
GGAAGUAAAAGUCGUAACAAGGUUUCCGUAGGUGAACCUGCGGAAGGAUCAUUACCGAGUUAGGGACCGAGGGGUCACACCCUCGCCUGGUCGACCCGCCGGGAGCGCGUCCUCGCGGCCUCAACUUAACACUUGAACCCAAAACCGUCUGAAAACAUUUAUGAUUUGUAAUCAAAAACAAAACUUUCAACAACGGAUCUCUUGGUUCUGGCAUCGAUGAAGAACGCAGCGAAAUGCGAUAAGUAAUGUGAAUUGCAGAAUUCCGUGAGUCAUCGAAUCUUUGAACGCACAUUGCGCCCUGGUAUUCCGGUGGGCAUGCCUGUUCGAGCGUCAUUUCCUCUCUCAAACCUGGUUUGGUGUUGGACCGUGUUCGGGCUCGCCCCUCUCAAAGACAAUGACGGCGUCGGGACCCUCUUCGCAACGAGUCUUUGAGGCACGCGGGGAGUGCAAGGUCCCGUCGGGUCGGUCACACCCUUUUAUAGGUUGACCUCGGAUCAGGUAGGGAUACCCGCUGAACUUAAGCAUAUCAAUAAGCGGAGGA